CCCUUAGAUGUUCUGGGCCGCGCGCGUGCUACACUGAGUGGAUCAGCGGGUCAGGUUGCGCGAAAGCGUUUCCUAAUCUUUAAAUCCGCUCGUGAUGGGGAUUGACGGUUGCAAUUUUCUGUCAUGAACGAGGAAUACCUUGUAAGCGCGGGUCAUCAUCCCGCGCUGAAUACGUCCCUGCCCUUUGUACACGCCGCCCGUCGCUCCUACCGAUUGAGUGGUCCGGUGAGGCUUUGGGAUCUGAGCGGAAAGAGCGUUUCGCUGUUUCUGCUCGGAAAACUCAGUCGAACCUUAUCAUUUAGAGGAAGGAGAAGUCGUAACA
rnacentral:rRNA from 1 species